rnacentral:snRNA from 1 species
AUUGCUUCUCGGCCUUUUGGCUAAGAUCAAGUGUAGUAUCUACUCUCAUCAGUUUAAAUUGUCUAUGUUCACUUAAAACAUCAUUUUUACAUAUAAAAUUUUGAGAAAACUAUU